GACGAACCGAGCGAACGUUGUUCGGAAUCACUGGGCUUAAAGGGCGCGUAGGCGGCUUUUCAAGUCGGGCGUGAAAUCUCCGGGCUUAACCCGGAAGGGUCGUUCGAUACUGUUGAGCUAGAGUGUGGAAGAGGCAACUAGAAUUCCGUGUGUAGCGGUGAAAUGCGUAGAUAUACGGAGGAAUACCUGAGGCGAAGGCGGGUUGCUGGGCCAACACUGACGCUGAGGCGCGAAAGCCAGGGGAGCAAACGGG
rnacentral:rRNA from 1 species